AUCCAGUUUCAGACUCAAGAAACUAAAGCCCACGUAAAUUCCAACUCAGCAGCAAAAUCCUUUAUGUCAUCUAGCACUGAGGUAACAUCUUGUCUACUUUACGUGUCAGGGCAGAGGCUGAUUGCUUGUUUGUAACAGUCCACAUCAUCACACUAACCGUUAGCUGUCAAAUACUAUGUGCUUGGGCCCUCACAAGGCUAUUAAUUGCAGUUUCAGAUGUAAUACAUAUAACCUAGUACACGGUCAUUAAUUUGCUGUGUUGGCUGCCAUGAAGUGACAAGCACAACACUAUGUUUUAUAAUAUAUCUUUCUGAAAAUUCAUAUAAACCUUAGAUUAGUCUUCAGGGGAAUACAAAUGAAAAAAUAAAGUAAAAUAAAAUGAGGUACAGCCCUAUGAAAUAAGUUAAAUUCUAUGAAAACAAACCCUAACUUUUUUCUCGAAUAGCAAACAGUGAAUUUAUGUGAUACAUCUCUGUUAAACUGCAUGAUAAGUAGAAUUUUUUAGCAUACCAAAGUAAAAAGCAUUCUGGAUUGGCUACCUUUCUGUUACCCUUGAAAACAGAUGUUUUGGUUCCUGAUGUCAAAGAAAGGCUGUCCAAUUAUCAGAAGCCUUCAUCCAAGACAAGAUGGUUAAAAUCUUUCUGAAUAUGGUGAAAUCUUCCCUGAAAUGCAGACAGUCCCCUGUGGUUUUCAAUCACUCAAACUGCAUAUGGAAGGCCCCUCCACCUACCGCUUUAGGAAUGGUGCAGAAGGAGGUCCAGCAGCCCCAUGAGCUCUGGGCUUUUGAAGGCAGUUUUUUAAAGAAAGGGUUCCUCACCAUUGAGAAAUAUUUCCUCGGGGCUGAAGAUUCUGUAAGCGAAAUAAAACAAAGCAGAAAUGUUCAGACUGGAAUGAUUUUUCCUCUGUAGUUGAUAACAACACCAUCUGCUCAAGGAUUUUCUGCUAGCAGGCUAAAGUCAUUGAAUAAACUGCACACUCCAGAUUGUUUGCUCAUCCGCUCUAUAUAGCAAUCUACGAUUGUUGAUUAAUUAAAGUCCAGAGUUCCCCAAUGAGAAAGAAUUUUAAAAUGACAUGCUGAGAAAACUGUCAUAUGUGGAUUCACGACUGUCUAAGGUCCACUGGAUUUUGAACUUCCUUGGGGGAUAUCAGCGCUUUGCAGGAGUGUCAAACAGCAAUUGAGAAACAUCAGGAAGAUUCAGAAGUUCAGCUAAUUCAAAUCUCACCCUGUCAGACUCCAGGCCAAGUCCCUUCCUGACAGAGCCACGUGGGACUCCCUGUCUACUCUGCACCAUAGUACAUGUUUCACAAGUUAGGACCAUAAAAGAGAAUAGGGCACAAGGCAUCUGCUUAUGCUUUGAAUAAUGCAUUCCUGUAACAUUUCUGAAAGUUCUGUUUGUCUGAAUCUCUGUGGUGGUUUGGCUAACACAGUAGUUUUUAGUAUUUACCUUUUGACGAACAUCCAACAAAUUUAAGUGUGACAACCCACCCUCUUCCUAUAUUUCCCUGUUCUGAAGAAAAGCUGGCAUUUCCGACAUUAGCAACAGGACACAACCACCCCCUUCCUCUCCAUUGUCUUCUCCUUGUAUCUGACAGCUCCCAAAGCAUCUACAGAACUUUAGAAGUUUAUUAUGUGAAUAGAAAGGCACAUAGGGCUGGAAAGCGAGGUAAAAGAAGACGUCUAGAUUUUUAUCAGUCUCAGAAUGAGGUUAAUUCCAUUCUCAUUUUUUCUCAGGCAGAAUACAGUAUGGAAAGUGAAGAAAGGUUUAAAAUAAGCCUUGGGGUAUGUAGGGUUAAAUACUGCAACCGUGGGUGACACAGUGACGAAACUGUUACCUCCUCAGAAAUGUAUUCUGUGCUUGGGAUAAUUAAACUGAAGAUACUUUUUUAACCAGAUGAGAUUUCAAAAACUUUCUCAAUUCUCCUAGAAGCAAGAAAACAACCCAGAUUUGACCUGGCCACUGGCCACUGGCCACCACUCCUGUUCCUAGAAAGCUUGAUAAAAGAGGUUUAUCUUUGUCCCUUACUCAGUGAAAGUAUCACAGAACCACCUCUACAAUUACUUUCAAUGAAAAAUUCCAACUUACACACCUGGAAGAAGAAAUUUCCAGACAGUCAAGCUUGCAGUACCUCUGCUGACUUCAGUGGAAUUGUACCAGGAGAUAAAUUUUGAUUCUCCUUCUUCAAAC